rnacentral:rRNA from 1 species
UACGGAAGGGGCAAGCGUUGUUCGGAAUCAUUGGGCGUAAAGGGCGCGUAGGUGGUUCUGUAUGUCUACCGUGAAAGCAUACAGCUCAACUGUAUUUUGUCGGUAGAAACUGCAGGACUUGAGGCUGGGAGGGGCUGGUGGAAUUCCCGGUGUAGCGGUGAAAUGCGCAGAUAUCGGGAGGAACACCAAUGGCGAAGGCAGCUCGCUGGGACGUGACUGACGCUGAGACGCGAAAGCGUGGGGAGCAAACAGG